AAGUCGUAACAAGGUAACCGUAGGUGAACCUGCGGUUGGAUCAUUAAAGUAUGGCCCGCGAGUGUUAACGUUGCGGUGGCACUGUCCGGAUCGAGGAACGCCCAGGCUUUCAUAGGUGGGUCAACUUGACUGGCAGAUACCACAGAGACACCUUUGUGAAUUUUUUGAACGUCUUUUGGCGGCGCUUGGGGUUCGUGGGGUUAUUCUUCACAUUCCCUGUGGACGCCUCGAACUGGCUUUGGCCAGGAGAUGGUCAAGCUCCGAGUUGAGAGAGAAGUUCCUUUUCUUUCCUCGGAGCGGUCCGCGCCGCCAGUCACUUGCAACAACAUGCCGUGUGAAUCUUCUGUCUUAUGAUAUAUCUUCGAUAUAGAAACAACUUUAGACAAUGGAUCUCUUGGUUCUC
rnacentral:misc_RNA from 1 species